UGGCAGGAUUCUUUUUUUUUACUCUUUAUUUUGUUUUAUUUUUAAGGAAGUUGCUUGCAAACGUCAGCAGAGAAGCUAAGGUAUAGACUCAGAGUAACCUCUCGCUCCGACCCCUGGUGACAAGACGGAUAGUUCCAUUCAUCUAUGGGAAAUGAAGAAGAUUGGAAAAAGUUUCGUAUUCAAAAUAGAACAACAUGAUGGAGUAGGGAAAAGAGCACAGCUUUUGGAAUGUGAUGACCCAGUUCUGAUACUUAGUUUAAAUAACCUUGAGCAGGAAUCCUGUGGUAUGUAGGUAUUAGAGUCACCAAUAUAUCAAAAAGAAAACUGUGGUUGAGAGAAGCCCAGCAAUUUAAUUGAUGUCAGCUGGUAGGUCUGCAUGCAGAAACCCUGCUAAUUUCGAAGAGGGCUUCCUUUACUAUGGAAAGGAGGAUUGAGAGGAAAAUUAGAAAAGGAUUCCCAUGUAGACCUAGGGAAGGUAAGACCCCCAUAUCCUAGUUUAUAACACGAUUUCAUAAAAGGAGUGGAAGAUGAAUGUAUAUUAAAAUGAUUCAAAACAUGAGCAGACUCUGCGAGUGUUAUGCACAGAUGAGUUAAUUGUUUUGCCUUAAAUAUAUUUCCUGAAGAACAGAAGCCCGAUCACAGCACACAUCGUUAUGUAUUUUAGACAAACAGCACUUUGAAUCAAAUUAUAGUACAUGCAUAAAAUAUUAAAAUAAGACAUUUAUAACAAAUCUUUCUAACUUAGUGCUCAGCUCUAAAAUAGAUUUAUAUGUGGAUAAGCAAUAGGUGCGAUAAAUGUGGUACAGAUACCACAAUUUAAAUUGCAAAUCAACAGAGAAUCAUGGGAAAAAGGAAUGCAGACUUGAAGCACUGGAGGAAAAGAUCCAGCUAUUCAAUAUUUUUAGGUCUUUUGCCUGAUUUCGAUUUGCAAUGUCUGUAUCUGGACUCCACAUUUGAUAAAUUCCAAUGUUUGCUCUUUAACAUAGUUUAUUUACAACCCCAAUUUAAAUGAGAUAAUUAAAACCUUCAUUUAUUGUUCCUUUUGUUUACUGUUGAACUGUUGCCAAUAUACAGUUCCUGGAAUCUUCAAGCUAUUUUAGUUAGUUGGGAUAUUUUAGAAGAACAUUGCUAUUUCUCAGUUUACAAAAUAGGCAAGUGCAAUGGGAAACAAUGUCCUUACACAUGCUUGAGCACUGCCUGCUUUGCCAGAUCACCUUGCACCUUGGACUUUUCCUCCUACUCCUGUGUAGUAAAUGUGAUGACAACUCGUCUCCAGGAAUAAUCCCUGCCCAAGGAUAUUAAACUUGUUUCAUUUAUGUUGAAGAACCUUGCUUGGGGCGAUUGAGCUGAAUAUCUACAGAGCUGAGUGUUUCUGGGCAAGUUGGCCUGUUAGAAUCGAGAAGGAUUCCCCUCAAAUUGAAAGCCCUUAGAAGGCCCCUAAUGAAUGAGGUUGUGCUUUGGGACUUGCAUGAUAUCCAAUGCAUUUUGGGGAAGUAGAUUCUUUGCUCCCGGCGUCUCUGGAUGUAGAUGAACAUGUAAGAUUUGCCCAGGCUACGUUUUUGAAGACCAGAGACCCAUGAACCAAGGGAAGGAGGAGCAGCCACAAAGGGUUGUGUCAGUAUUUCUGAGUGCCGACAACUUAAGAGAUCUCUUUCAGCCAACAAUUUACUUGCAGCUACAGAAUUAAAACAUUUCUUCUUAGCAAGGGGUUGUUUGCUUGGAAACAUUUCUUCUUUGCCUGAUCUAUAUGCUGGAAGUUUCUCUUCCCAUUGAAUAUCUCUAAUAUUAGCUUUUCCUCACAGAGAGUGUCUGUACAGCCAUAUUUUAUUUUCUUAUAAAAAUUGUAUCAAGUUUUUUAAUGCCCAGGUUUCUUGUGCAAUUAACUUACCUUCCUGUUUCCCACUCUGUUUACAAUAAUUGUUUCCAAGACUUUUUUGGAAGUUACUUCGUUGAAAAUAAUUAAGGACGAAAUAAAUUUUUUCAUAUUCAAGAUUUCAGGUGGCAAUAUUCAACCAGACUUUACAUCAAUUAACCAUGGCAGAAGAGAAAAAAAUGAGACCUAUUCUAAAUUUCCACUGUAACAUUAGAUCCACAAAAUUAUAUCUGCUGAUGUUUACCUCUAUCUAGGUCAAGAAGCAUUAAUGACAAGAGAACUUUAAGGAGCAAGAAAUUAAAUACUUCCACACCUCACAACAUUAGAUUGUUCCUGGAACUAAAGUGCCAUUAUGGGUUCCUGCCAUGCUAAAUGAGUUUUCCUAAAAUUUGUGUGUUGGAAACUCAACCCCUCUGCCCUCAUGAAUGAAUUAAUGGAUUCAUGGGAAUAAUGUUGCUAUCAUGAAAGUGAGUUCUUUAUCAUGGGAGUGGCUUUGUUAUAAAAGCAAGCUCUCACUGGCUUUUUUGCUCUUGCCUUCUCACUAUGUGAUGUCCUGUGCCAUAUUAUGACAAAGCAAGAAGACCCUCACCAGAUGCUGGCACCAUGUUCUUGUACUUCCCAGUCUUCAGAACCAUGAGCUGAAUAAACUUCCUUCGCAGUCUUUGGUAUUCUGUCAUAGUGACAGAAAAAGUAUUAAGAUAUUUCCCAAUUAUCCAUUCCAAUAAGAGUCAAAUGCAGUUUUAAAACAGAGAGGUAAAGAGUUAGAUCUGUGCCAUCACAGUAGCCACUGGCCACAAUGUAGCUACUGAACACUUGAAAAUGCAGCUAGUCUUAGUUGAGCAAAACUGUAAAUACAAAAUACAUACCGGUGUUAAACCCUUAAUACAUAAAAGUAAAU